AUGACCGUUGCAGAUCAAGGAGUUUGGCUUUUUUGGGUGAGUGGAAGCUGGACAGCAGCAGUUGCAAUUUGGAUGCAGGGGACCACAUUGAUGAGCUCUACAGGAGGCCAAGCGAUUACCCAUGCAGGCACACAGGCCUUAGUGAAAGGACAGAUGUGGAAAUGCAGAAGGACAAAGAGAGAAGGUGGUGAAACAACAGCGGUGAAAUAUCUGAGAUGGAGCACAGUGGGAAAAAGUGCCCACAGGAGCAGAGCACAGGAAGCUGCAGCCUGGGUCUGCCAGGAUGUGAAAGACGCCCCAUCCAGCUCUCGAAGCCUUGGGCCAUUUGCAUCUGUGGCACAAAGCACCACCAAAGAGCAAAGUGACAGUGCUGACCCAAGGGAUGGAAAGCCAUAAAUGCACAGCCAAUUAGACCCCACGUCUCCCCUCCCCAUCACCCUUACUGACCCUGCAGGAGGCUGGAGAGUUUUCCUGGAGAAAUUUGAUCUGAAAACCUCAGGGAAAAAAAGCAGACUAAAUCCAGAGAGGGGAAUUCAGGCAUAAAAGAUUGGGGUUGGAGAAACUGCCCUUGCACAGAAAUGAUGGUGAAAUGCAGUUCCUUCUCUUCACCUUUCUCAGGGUGAAUUGUAGUGGAUUGCUUCCUCUAGAAACCCACAAGCCUUAGAAGAGAUGUAGAAAUCAUGUGGUUGGGACAAUAUUGAUUUUGGUUCUGAAAAGUCAAAUGCUAGCAUAAAAAAUAAUUUUAAAUGUGGAAUUGAUUAAAUAUACAAUGUGGAGGUGCAUAACAGAAAAAACAACUUGCUCUCAAGAGGCAAUUGGUAGAGAUUUGAAAGUUGUAGACAUUUCUUAAGAGGACUCAAAGGAAAAUGAAAAGUAUGUAGGGAGUGUCUCCACCACCCUUAGGGAAUACAUACAUCAUCAAGAACAGAAUUCCAGAAGAAAUAUGAAUGUCAAGGACACUGCUUGUGUGGGCUUACAUUUUAUAUGAGGAGCAUGUUAUCAUAAAACAAAGAAAAGAUGAUCCUUAUCAUAAAAUGUCAUACAUCUUCACUGAACUGUGUUCUAUUAAAGGGUGGAAUGCAGAACUGUUAAGUGAUGAACUUGUAAAGUUGGCUGAGGAUAUCACCAAAAUGUGUUGAAAGUAAAGCCUAGUUUCUCCUUCCGGCUUAUAGGAAUUUUUGAGAAGAAAAAGAUACAUUAUGGAAAGCAUGGUUAAGCAAAGUAGAACCAGCAACUGAUGAUUUUGGAAGCAAUCUAUGUAUACAGAUUUCAAAGGUGGCUAAAAUUAAGAAAUCCACUGAUGGAAAAAUAUGUCCUGGAGGAACAACCAAGAAUGUGGCUAGAUAACAUUUAGCUAAAAAGAUUAGUUAGGUAUGUGCCUGACGAAGCCAAUGAAUCAUAUCAGCUGAAUCCAGACACAGAAAUGGAGUUACCGAGGAAGGACUCUUUUGUCUUAUUGUGCAAAUCUGAGAGACAUAUAUGGGAGGUCCACAAGGUUGUGUUUUUGUUUUUGUUCUUUGUGAUACUAGUGAUUGAACCCAGGGCCUUGGCACUGAACUACAACUCCAGCCCUUUUUAAAUUUGUUUCUUUUUAUUUUGAGACAAUGUCUCACGAAAGAGCUAGGUUGCCAAACUGGGCUUGAGUAUUCUCCUGCACUAGCCUCCCAGAAGCUGGGGUUACAAGUAUAUGCCAUCAGGCCUGGAUCCCACAAAAUUUUUGACUGUGUUACACUAGCAGAAAUGCUGCUAGGUUGGACCAAAACAGUCAGAGACUAAGGAAUGUGAAAGAAGACUAUCAGACUUCCAAGAUUCUAUAGGCAGCAAACUGCAGUAAUAGUCUGCAGUAAAACCCAGCGGGGACAAGGCUGUCCCACAGAAACAGAACUUCCAAUAGGUUCUUUCAGUGCUGGCUCCUCAUUACUAAUCAGUAGCUAACCAUCUUUAUAAGGGAAAUAUUUAAUAUAAAUGAAAGGCCAGAAUAAUCAGAUGAAAUAGAAACCUGAGGAAAUUGAAAUAAUAGCAAACCUUGAAACAAAUGAAUUACUUUCUGCCUCCACAUGCACACAAAAUAACACCAGUGGAAUUAAGAGCCUGAGAGAAUUAAUAGCCCAAGAGAACUAAAAGAUGGCAUUGCUUUCAUAAAGUAAUAACAGGAUGCUUGACAAAGCGAAACAAUCCAAGAAUAAAAAACAACACUUGAAACAGAAAAAUCCAAUAGCUAAGAAUAAAAUAUCAGUAGAUAUAUUGCAAAAUAAGGUUGAUUAAAUUCCCCAGAUGUCCACAGAGGAGAAAGAAAUAGUACAUGAGAAGCAUAGCACCAGUCUAUGGGGUACAGUACCUAAUCAACAAAAGGUAAGGAGGACCUAAGGAUGAGACCAAAUGGAUGGGGGAAACAGGAAAGGAGAAAUUAACAACAAAAUACAGUGCAAUUUCCCAGUAUAGAAAAAACAAGUGUCUACGACAGUAUGGGUUUAGUGUUGAAUGGGAAAAAGAAGCACGUACAAAACAUAUUAUUCAGAAAUCUCAGAGCAGCGAAGAUAAAAAGAAGAUCUUUAAUUCUCCCAAGGAGAAAGAUAUAUCACAUAUAGUGGGUCAAAACUCCCCUAAACAGUGAUCUUUUUGACAAUAGUGCUAGAAACCAGGAGACAAAAAAAAAAAUUGUUUGCAAUAUUUUGAAUGAGAAGCAUAAUUUUCUUUUGACAUUGCAGAAAUUAAAGACCCCAUUCUCUAAAAUAAAAAUAAUAUUUAUAAAAUUUUAUGUUUUCAGUUAAGUUUGAGUAAAUUCUGGGAAAGGAAUCUAAAAGUGUUGAAAUUAUAACUUUGAAUAGAGGUUGGCGGGGUAGGAGGGAAAUUUUAGGAAUAUUUGUCUUUUAGACACAGUCAUUACGAAUGGGCCUGCGUGAUUUUAUAACAUUAUAAAUUAAGAAAAUAAAUCCUUGCUUAGAUGCAACAUAUCUCACCUUACUGUAGACACAAGAGACCAUGCCCAGUAUGGCUUUUACAAGGAAUCUUCGGGGGCCAGGGAUUUAGCUCAGUGGUUCCACUGCCUGCCUCACAGGCACGAGGACCUGAAUUCAAGCCCCAGUACCAAAAACAAAACAAAAUAAAACAAAAAACAAUUAGGAAUCUUAGGAAACUAGACCUAAUAAAGUAUAUAGGCUCUUAAGGUAAAAGCAAGUGAGUGUUGUUAAAUUUUAUCUUUAAGUAGCUAAUUCUGUUUGUACAAUUAUCUGUAUGUGUAAUAUUUGGCAAGUUAAGUAACAUGCUCAUUGGAUUACUCAUAACUUUCAUGAAAUAAAGCUCUGUAGGCA
ensembl:lincRNA